rnacentral:tRNA from 2 species
GCCACCUUAGCUCAGCUGGUAGAGCACUCGAUUUGUAAUCGAAAGGUCGUCGGUUCGAUCCCGACAGGUGGCU